AUUGAACGCUGGCGGCAGGCUUAACACAUGCAAGUCGAGCGGGGUGAUGGUGCUUGCACUAUCACUUAGCGGCGGACGGGUGAGUAAUGCUUAGGAAUCUGCCUAUUAGUGGGGGACAACAUUUCGAAAGGAAUGCUAAUACCACAUACGUCCUACGGGAGAAAGCAGGGGAUCUUCGGACCUUGCGCUAAUAGAUGAGCCUAAGUCGGAUUAGCUAGUUGGUGGGGUAAAGGCCUACAAAGGCGACGAUCUGUAGCGGGUCUGAGAGGGUGAUCCGCCACACUGGGACUGGGACACGGCCCAGACGCCUACGGGAGGCAGCAGUGGGGAAUAUUGGACAAUGGGCGGAAGCCUGAUCCAGCCAUGCCGCGUGUGUGAAGAAGGCCUUAUGGUUGUAAAGCACUUUAAGCGAGGAGGAGGCUACUUUAGUUAAUACCUAGAGAUAGUGGACGUUACUCGCAGAAUAAGCACCGGCUAACUCUGUGCCAGCAGCCGCAGUAACAC
rnacentral:rRNA from 1 species